GACGAACGUUUGCGGCGUGCUUAACACAUGCAAGUCGAACGGUAAGGCUCCAGCUUGCUGGGGUACACGAGUGGCGAACGGGUGAGUAACACGUGGGCGACCUGCCCUGCACUUCGGGAUAAGCCUGGGAAACUGGGUCUAAUACCGGAUAGGACCGCACCGUGAGGGUGUGGUGGAAAGUUUUUUCGGUGUGGGAUGGGCCCGCGGCCUAUCAGCUUGUUGGUGGGGUAAUGGCCUACCAAGGCGGCGACGGGUAGCCGGCCUGAGAGGGUGGACGGCCACAUUGGGACUGAGACACGGCCCAGACUCCUACGGGAGGCAGCAGUGGGGAAUAUUGCACAAUGGGCGGAAGCCUGAUGCAGCGACGCCGCGUGGGGGAUGACGGCCUUCGGGUUGUAAACUCCUUUCACCAUCGACGAAGGGUUUCUGACGGUAGAUGGAGAAGAAGCACCGGCUAACUACGUGCCAGCAGCCGCGGUAAUACGUAGGGUGCGAGCGUUGUCCGGAAUUACUGGGCGUAAAGAGCUCGUAGGUGGUUUGUCGCGUCGUCUGUGAAAUUCCGGGGCUUAACUCCGGGCGUGCAGGCGAUACGGGCAUAACUUGAGUACUGUAGGGGAGACUGGAAUUCCUGGUGUAGCGGUGAAAUGCGCAGAUAUCAGGAGGAACACCGGUGGCGAAGGCGGGUCUCUGGGCAGUAACUGACGCUGAGGAGCGAAAGCAUGGGGAGCGAACAGGAUUAGAUACCCUGGUAGUCCAUGCCAUAAACGGUGGGCGCUAGGUGUGGGUUUCCUUCCACGGGAUCCGUGCCGUAGCUAACGCAUUAAGCGCCCCGCCUGGGGAGUACGGCCGCAAGGCUAAAACUCAAAGGAAUUGACGGGGGCCCGCACAAGCGGCGGAGCAUGUGGAUUAAUUCGAUGCAACGCGAAGAACCUUACCUGGGCUUGACAUAUACAGGAUCGCGCCAGAGAUGGUGUUUCCCUUGUGGCUUGUAUACAGGUGGUGCAUGGUUGUCGUCAGCUCGUGUCGUGAGAUGUUGGGUUAAGUCCCGCAACGAGCGCAACCCUUGUCUUAUGUUGCCAGCACGUUGUGGUGGGGACUCGUAAGAAACUGCCGGGGUUAACUCGGAGGAAGGUGGGGAUGACGUCAAAUCAUCAUGCCCCUUAUGUCCAGGGCUUCACACAUGCUACAAUGGUCGGUACAGUGGGUUGCCAGUCCGUGAGGGCGAGCUAAUCCCGCAAAGCCGGUCUCAGUUCGGAUCGGGGUCUGCAACUCGACCCCGUGAAGUCGGAGUCGCUAGUAAUCGCAGAUCAGCAACGCUGCGGUGAAUACGUUCCCGGGCCU
rnacentral:rRNA from 1 species